rnacentral:sRNA from 2 species
AUAUCUCUCCGUACGGGAAGGAUGAGAAGCUUCGACUAAGGUUCGAUUCGAGCGUCAGCGAGAAAGCGUUGCCGCAGGCAACGACCCGAAGGGCGAAGCGCGCAGCGCUGAGU